rnacentral:ncRNA from 1 species
AAGCUAGGGGAGCAAAUGGGAUUAGAUACCCCAAUAGUCCUAGCCAUAAAUGAUGGAUACUAGGCGUUAUGCGUAUCAACCCGUGCACUGCUGUAGCUAACGACUUCACAGACC